AAAAGCUCGUAGUUGGAUCUCAGCUGUGGCCGGACGGUCCGCCUACCGGCGGUUACUGUUCGAGCCAAGCGUUCAGGCGGUUAUCUUUGAUGAUCUUCACCGGUUGUCUCGGGUGACCGCCAAGUUUACUUUGAAAAAAUUAGAGUGCUCAAAGCAGUCGUGAUGACUGAAUAAUCGUGCAUGGAAUAAUGGAAUAGGACCUCGGUUCUAUUUUGUUGGUUUUCGGAACACGAGGUAAUGAUUAAGAGGGACAGACGGGGGCAUUCGUAUUGCGACGCUAGAGGUGAAAUUCUUGGACCGUCGCAAGACGAACUACUGCGAAAGCAUUUGCCAAGAAUGUUUCCAUUAAUCAAGAACGAAAGUUAGAGGUUCGAAGGCGAUCAGAUACCGCCCUAGUUCUAACCAUAAACGAUGCCAGCCAGCAAUCCGCCUGUGUUCCUCAAAUGACACGGCGGGCGGCUUCCGGGAAACCAAAGCUUUUGGGUUCCGGGGGAAGUAUGGUUGCAAAGCUGAAACUUAAAGGAAUUGACGGAAGGGCACCACCAGAAAUGGAGCCUGCGGCUUAAUUUGACUCAACACGGGAAAACUUACCCGGCCCGGACACAGGAAGGAUUGACAGAUUAAGAGCUCUUUCUUGAUUCUGUGGGUGGUGGUGCAUGGCCGUUCUUAGUUGGUGGGGCGACUUGUCUGGUUAAUUCCGAUAACGAACGAGACUCUAGCCUACUAAAUAGACGUUCCGAUCCUCUUUCGUCGGACGUUCUUCUUAGAGGGACAAGCGGCGUUUAGCCGCACGAGACAGAGCAAUAACAGGUCUGGGAUGCCCUUAGAUGUCCGGGGCCGCACGCGCGCUACAUUGAAGGAAUCAGCGUGUGCUUUCCCUGUCCGAAAGGACUGGGUAACCCGUUGAACCUCCUUCGUGCUGGGGAUUGCCGUCUGUAAGACCGGUAUGAACGAGGAAUUCCCAGUAAGCACGAGUCAUCAGCUCGUGUUGAUUACGUCCCUGCCCUUUGUCCACACCGCCCGUCGCUACUACCGAUUGAAUGAUUUAGUGAGGUCUUCGGACUGGCGCUCGGAUUGGCCUUCGCGGUCGAGCCGGUGUGCCGGAAAGAUGACCAAACUUGAUCAUUUAGAGGAAGUAAAAGUCGUAACAAGGUUUU
rnacentral:rRNA from 1 species